UACGUAGGGUGCAAGCGUUAAUCGGAAUUACUGGGCGUAAAGGGUGCGCAGGCGGUCUCGUAAGCUGGGUGUGAAAGCCCCGGGCUUAACCUGGGAAUGGCAUUCAGGACUGCGAGGCUUUGAGUGUGGCAGAGGGAGGUGGAAUUCCACGUGUAGCAGUGAAAUGCGUAGAGAUGUGGAGGAACACCGAUGGCGAAGGCAGCCUCCUGGGCCAGCACUGACGCUCAUGCACGAAAGCGUGGGGAGCAAACAGG
rnacentral:rRNA from 1 species